CUGUUCGCGGUUGGUACCGUUGCAGGAUUUCUCUUUCUUAGCUGAUGAGCCGUAAUUCUGUCCGUAGGAGCAGCAGUGAGAUCCCUUCAAGCUGGCUUCAUUUCCAUGAUUUCACCAAGGGAAAUGGAAGCUGACUUGCUUCAAGUUCGUCAUACAGUACAAGAAGCAGUUGACGUUCUAUCUUCUUCCAGAGAUGGUGUCCAGAUCUCUAAGACUUUGUGGGGAAUUAGGAGGUACCUUGGUGGAACUGAAAAUCCACCCUCCAUAAAAGAGAAAGAAGAAUUUGCCCACUAUCAUUUCACAACCUUUCUGCAAUGCCUUAUCAGAAACCUGAAUCCUGAAUGGUGGGAACAAUUCCCGUCUGACAAGGAGAAGGAAUUGUGGGAUAGCUUUUUCUUGGAAGGACCAGCAGACCAAUCUUUUAUAGUUCUAUUGGAUUCCAUAAUUUCUACAGAGCCCAGUUUUCGUCUGGAUAAAGUCAUCGGUGUGCUUGAACAGUUCCUGCAGAAAGCUGGGCUGUCGGCUCUGAUGUGGGAGGUCUGCAGGCAACAGACACGCCUGGGCUCUCCAGUGCUUCAGGAAGCAAUUCUCAGCAAGGUUGUGUCUCUGCCUGACCACCUGGGCAACAAGCUCCAGAGAGAAAACCGGACCAUCUUCUUUCCUCAGAACUACUUUCCAUUGCUGGGGGCAGAAAUCAUCCGGGUGCUGGAAAGGAUCUGCAACUCACUGAGAGGUGGCCUGGAUUGCUCCAUUGCCUUUGUGUCUCAGGUGCUGGGGAAAGCAUGCAUGCACGGAAGGCAGAAGGAAAUCCUGGGUGCGUUGGUGCCCCACCUCAUGGAACGCACCCGGGUGGACUGCAUCUGGCAGAGGGUGUCCUGGAGGCUGGUCCGGAGUGUGCCAGAUCGCUGGCUGGAAGCUGUGGUCUGCGGCCUUGUUCAGGCAGCACCUGGGGCGCCUGUGUUGUCCCGCCUGCUGGGGAAUCUUGUGGUGAAAAGCAAGAAGGCCCAGUUUGUCAUGACCCAGAAAAUGCUGCUGCUUCAGUACAGCUACCCGACGGCGGUGCUGCUGACCCUCCUUGGCUACCUGGCCCUGGACAGCCUGCGGCGUCCCUUGCUGAUCAGAGUACUGAAAGAGCUGCUUGAGGCCUGGGGGAGCAGCAGUGCCGUGAAGCACUCUCCAGCGGAGCAGCAGCUGUACAUCAGCAAGGCCAUCUUGAUCUGCCUCUCUCACCUGAAUGAAGAAGAGAUCAUGGGCAGCAGGCAAGAGCUGCUGUCAAGUAUGAUGGAGGGGAUGAAGUGCCACCUGGACAGCAACUCGCCGCGGAUCCGUCACAUGGGGAUGGUUGUCGCAGAGUGUCUCAGUGCCAGGAUAACCCCUGAGGAGCCUGCCUUGAAAUUUCAGUACAAAGAAGAUGAUGAGAUCAGAGAGCUGAAGUCCUGCAUGAGUCAAAGAGCAGAAGAGUCCUCUGGCAGAGAUUCCCCGAGCACUGGGAGCGGCAGGCCGUCUGCAGCACCAGACGUCCCGAGCCUCGGUGUGGAAUCGGUCUCAGGUGCUUCUGAAGAAGUGAGUCAGGGAACGGAUUCUGAACUUGACAGCGACGACGACCUCGUUCCGUACGACAUGUCGCAGGAUAAAGAACUGAAGAAGACCAAGGCUCCCAGCUACAUCCGAGACUGCCUAGAAAUCUUGACUGGGCCAGAAGAUGCAGACAAAUAUGAAGCCACCAUGGGCGUCCUGGAGGUUCUCAUUCGAAGGAAUCCGGCGCCUGCACGGGAGGUGAGCGUGGAACUGGCGAAAGUGCUGCUGCACCUGGAAGAGAAGAGCUACAUCGAUGGCUUUGUGGGGCUUCGGCAAAGGGCCUUGGUGGCCAUCACGGUCACAGACCCCGUUCCGGUGGCCCAGCAUCUCACCUCCGAGGUCUACUCCCUGAAUUACAGCCUCCGCCAGCGCAUGGACAUCCUGGAUGUGCUGGCCAUGGCAGCGCAAGAACUCUCCCAGCCUGGGCCUGCCAAGUCCAGCCCGCCACCAGCUCCCACGCCCUCCAGCAUCCAAGUCCUGCCUGGCCGUGCUGCUGCUCCAGAUUGGCGGAAGGUUGUAAACGAAAGGAUCAGAAGCAAGACCCGGCGAUUUGCCAAGGGCUGGUCUCAAGCAGAGCUGCCGCACGCCCCCAACCGGUUUGGCCCGGUGGCCGGUCAUUUCUUCUUCCCGCUUCUUCAGAAGUUCGACAGGCCUCUGGCCACCUUUGACCUGCUGGGAGAUGACCACCUGGUCCUGGGCCGGCUGACACACACCCUGGCCGUUCUGAUGUACUUCGCUGUCCACACGCUGGUAGCGGCUAGAAUGGGAAAGGCACUGCUCGAGUUUGUUUGGACUUUGCGCUUCCACACAGACACAUACGUGCGGCAGGGCCUUCUGUCUUGUAUCUCUUCCAUACUCCUCAGUGUUCCUGCUGAGCGCCUUCUGGAGGAUGCGACGGACGAGCUUCUAGAGACCCAGUCCUGGCUGGCAGAUGUCACAGAGAAGGACCCAGAUGGUGACUGCAGAAGUUUGGCGCUGCAGAAUUUGCUGCUGAUGGAAAACCUGAAAAAAAAGCUUGAAGGGGCUCCUUUCUAGCAAAGGCGGGCUCAGCAGCUUCCGUGUUCCGUGGCCACUGGCCCACUUUUGGGUCAGACUCUCUCCCCCCGUUGCCGCUUGGACCAAGGAGGGAGUAGGGAACCGAGUGGCAAGCUGCACAGCAGCUGGGCUUGCUAGCAGAGGGCGGUUGGGCUGCCGUGGCUGUACUGAUGGGAAUGUCAACACACUCUUCCCUAUUGUGCUCUCUCGUGGCUAUUUAUGGCUUUGGCAGGCAUGCGAAAGGUACAGAGCAGAGUCGUGUGGUGUUUGCUAUCCUCAGGAAAAAACACUGGGAAAUGAAGUGGGUUUGCUUCGUGUCCCUAAGCCAUCCUUUUCCUUGGAUACUUUUCUGAGUUUCUUGACUUGGCAAACCUAGAAUGGAUGCUGUAAAUGUACUAGGGCUUUAAUCAGAAAUAUAGUCUACCUCUACUUUGGCCCAGAUUCCCACCCAAACUUUUCCCAAGCAGUGCCAACACUUAACUUGGGAAAUAUAUUCAGUGAGGAUACCUAUGGCAACCUCUGCAAAUGAACCAGCAUCACACGUGAUGACCCCAGGGCAUUCAGGAGCUGGUUCAUUGAUGUAUGAUGUGUGCAAAAUCGUUAAUAAAGGCUAAGAUAUGACAACCAUGAAUCAAAAAUUUGGGUGUAGGCCAGUUCCUAGUAAUAUAAUGGCCAGUUUCAUCCAAACUUAGGUUGAUACAAUGUAGAUUCUGCAACCUAGUAUAUGUCAUGGUGGCAAAUUUGGUGAGUUAACUCACUGUUCACUGGGAAGUGUGGAGAAUGCAUGCUGUAUUGCUAAAGAUGGAUAUUUGUUUCUGGGUUAAUAACCCCUUGUAUGUAGGUUCAGACGUGAUGUGAACAACUUGGGAAGGGUUUAUGUGCUGCUCAUGCACACCAUGCUGCUGUGAUGUAUGAACACACAUUUCCUAACGUUGUCUCUGCUGGACAGUCACCUUGCUUUCAUAGGGCUUCGUGAAGGACAGUAAUAGCCAAAGGCUGGUGGGAUUCCGGAGUGAAUUGAUUAGGUUUGAUAAAAUGGCUUGAAAGUACAGGCAACCCAGUGUAAGAUCCACACAAAGUCAGGUUGCUUGCUUGUAGCUGUCUUGUCCUUGAGUGUUCGUUUGUGCAUUCAUACAUAUGGGCCUCUGCCCCUGUGGGGCCUGAAGUUGAGAAGGUUUCCUAGCUGGACUUCCUUUGGUGGGAAGCCGUUCCCUUCCACCGCAUUUUAGAGGGGUUCUGACCCACUUGCUCAAUUUUGUGGAGACCAACAUUGUGGCCUCGGAACCAAGGGCAGGUUAGUGAAUGGCCAUCCUCGGACCCAAGGACUAUGAGAUCAGUGACUUGCAGUGUCAGAGCCGACUGGCACCACUAUGUGGUUAGAGAGGGAGCUGCGAGGACUGGCCUGCCAAAGGAGCAGUCUUGUCUAGCACAAAUGUCGAGCUGGAAAGGACCGGCAGCUGUCGCUGGGACAGACCGUCUUGCCGCUGUGCAGUGCUCUUGAAGUGACCUCGGCUGUGACGGAGUGAGUGCUGGGCCAUUCAGGGAGUGAGUGUGAUGGUCCCAGCCAGCCAGCGUGCAAGCCAUUGUGGGGACAGGCUUCCCUCUGGCCUCUCGGAGUAGCAAAAGGAAGUCUCUGGGAAUAACGAAAGGAUUCCGUUUGAAGGCAAGUGCCCUGUGCGCAUCCACUGUGUGCAGGGCGGAUUCCAUCAUGUGCGAUGGCACAGUGAAGGCGGCCAGCAGGUGAGGGCCUGGUUAGGGUGGGAUGAUGGCGCGCCUCUGGGAGGCAUGAGGGGCUGGACACAAGGCUGCCUUAUCUCGGAAAAGCGAGGUAGGGUUGGGCAGUGCGGAGCACCCUGAGUUUGCUGGCCUUUGGAAAGCUAUGGAAAGAAGCUGGGCUCUGUUGUGGCCGGUGGACUGAAGGGCUGUUUCGCUAGAGCUUGCAGAAUGCGCACGAUGCUCCAGCUCAGAAUGAAACACUGGACUUUCAGCAGGACGUUUUGUAGUCCUUUGAAGAGCUGAUGGGGCAGAGGAGGUGCGAAGACAGCUGGACCUUGGAUUUGUGAGUGGAGUGAGAUCACUGCCAAGUGGAACUUUGCAGAAGAUGGUGGCAAAGGGAGAGCAGGAAGUCAAGGGUCUGAUGGAGGGAUGCCUGGCGAGCAUUGAAGGAUUCUAGCUGGGUGAAGGCAGAGAAGGCGUUUCCCUUCACUGCAUACGGUCACUUGGGGAUGCUCUCAGUGCUGCAUCCAGGAUCCCCUGUACGUCUGGAUGAAGAGCUGUGCCUAGUCUACUGGACAGUCUUCCAUGCUGUGAAGCAUAGGGUGUUGAUGUAAGGAUGGAGGCGCAUUCGUGAGAGACGACACUCAUGUUUGAUGGAUGGCAGGUUGAAUGCCUUGUUGGACAGCUGGAGAAGGUAUGUGAACCAUGACUGGGGGACCACCACCGAGUAAGGAGGAUGCAGGUGGUCUUGGCCAUAUGGAUCUUCACCAGGAAUCUGAUGGCGAGCAGGAAUGGUGAGAAGAGAUGGAACAUUGAGUCCGUAGUGGUCCUGACCUGGGAACAGCAGCUCUUGAGAUUGUGUUGUUCUCAGUCGUGAAGAAGUCUAGCAAAGUUCUGAGAGGAUCCUGGGAUCCAUCUGCUCUGCCUGCUGAAGGAGUCUACCAUCAGGUUGACCAUCCUAGCUCAGCCAACCAUGGACAGUGGUGGGAGUGAUGCAUUUGUCAGUGCAGCGGUUACAAAUGUGCAUGGUGAGAGACACUAGGUUGAUGGACCUGGCGCCCCCUUGUGUAGGGAGAACACCAUGGCAGUAUUGUCUGUGGCGAUCUGAACAAUAGUGGUCCUGAAGGACCGGUUGGAAAGUGACAAGGAAUGGGGUUGCUUUCUCCUGGACGUGGUUCAUCCCCUCUAGCUGUUUGUAUGUUGGAGCUACCUGUGCUGGUGUCUUCUAAUUCACCUUCAUAGAAUUCAGGAGAGCCUGCAGGAAGGGCAUCAACAUCAGCGCCGCGACCUCCGUUCCGGGGGUGUGGAAGACUGGAUCUGCGGCUUUCUCAAUGUGCUGCUGCGCCUUAAGUCCAAGUGAGGGUGCCAGCCAGAAGCUUUGCUCAGAGAAGCACCCCAUGUCCUCAGAGGGGGCGCCCAUCUCCUGCCACAUGAUGAACACAUCUAGCAAAGAGGUGAGUGGGCUGUCAAAUGGGGCUGAGUCUGGGUUGGUUCUCUGGGACCAAGGAAGCUGAGUUGAGCCUCUGCUGUGAGAUGGGGGCAGGGAGCAGGCAUGGUGGUAAUGGAGGGCAAGCUAGUGUUGCUGAUGCCCUGCUGUGCCCUCUCCCUGGCCUCCUGGGUAGUCGUCGUAUGUUUAGUGAGGCCUGGGAGAGUGGACAGACACCCACACAGCACCCUCUCCUGGGCAGAAGCAGCACAGCAAGGGGCCAUCUGUCGGGAGCAACUUGCUCUUGCAAGGGAUGUAUUUCUGAAAUGAUGCCAGAAAAGGAGAAGGAAGAAGAUGAGAGAGUGUGUUGAGGACGGGAAGAGCGACAACAACUGAAGGGCUUUUAAUGUUUUCUAUUUUUCAACAGGGGUGGAUUUUGGUAAAAAGGUAAAGUAGGAAGAACUAGAAUUGGAGAAGAUAGCUACGAAAGCAGAGAACAAGUCAGGGAAAGGCAAUUACCAACUGAAAGAGGAAAGUCCCAAGACACCCCUAAUGGCGGUCAGAAAAGAGUUGAGGAAGUGGGUACCGGUAUGCCUAGGGAGAAGAAAGGGUUUCGUGGUCAACAGCCCUCAUCAGUCCCACUCCAAAUAAAUCUAGAGUUCGAUGUUCAAGUGGA